GAUGAACGCUGGCGGCGUGCCUAAUACAUGCAAGUCGAGCGAACAGACGAGGAGCUUGCUCCUCUGACGUUAGCGGCGGACGGGUGAGUAACACGUGGAUAACCUACCUAUAGGACUGGGAUAACUUCGGGAAACCGGAGCUAAUACCGGAUAAUAUAUUGAACCGCAUGGUUCAAUAGUGAAAGACGGUUUUGCUGUCACUUAUAGAUGGAUCCGCGCCGCAUUAGCUAGUUGGUAAGGUACGGCUUACCAAGGCGACGAUGCGUAGCCGACCUGAGAGGGUGAUCGGCCACACUGGAACUGAGACACGGUCCAGACUCCUACGGGAGGCAGCAGUAGGGAAUCUUCCGCAAUGGGCGAAAGCCUGACGGAGCAACGCCGCGUGAGUGAUGAAGGUCUUCGGAUCGUAAAACUCUGUUAUUAGGGAAGAACAAAUGUGUAAGUAACUAUGCACGUCUUGACGGUACCUAAUCAGAAAGCCACGGCUAACUACGUG
rnacentral:rRNA from 1 species